rnacentral:tRNA from 1 species
GCCUUGCUAGCUCAAUUGGUAGAGCACUCGAUGUGUAAUCGAGGGGUUGUCGGUUCGAUUCCGGCGCUGGGCU